rnacentral:rRNA from 1 species
AGAGCGAACGCUGGCGGCAGGCCUAACACAUGCAAGUCGAGCGCCCGUAGCAAUACGGGAGCGGCAGACGGGAUAGUAACACGUGGGAACGCGCCCUUCGGUUCGGAAUAACUCAGGGAAACUUGAGCUAAUACCGGAUACGCCCUUACGGGGAAAGAUUUAUUGCCGAAGGAACGGCCCGCGUCCGAUUAGCUAGUUGGUGAGGUAAUGGCUCACCAAGGCGACGAUCGGUAGCUGGUCUGAGAGGAUGACCAGCAUCACUGGGACUGAGACACGGCCCAGACUCCUACGGGAGGCAGCAGUGGGGAAUAUUGGACAAUGGGCGCAAGCCUGAUCCAGCCAUGCCGCGUGGAUGAUGAAGGCCUUAUGGUUGUAAAGUCCUUUUAACGGGGAAGAUAAUGACGGUACCCGUAGAAUAAGCCCCGGCUAACUUCGUGCCAGCAGCCGC